UGAUGAUGAUAACUAUGAUGGUGAUGAUGGUGAUGAGGAUGAUGAUGAUGAUCAUCAUCAUCAUCAUCAUCAUCAUCAUUAAGAAUU
rnacentral:pre_miRNA from 1 species